GGGCGGGUAUCUCAUCUGGAUAGAGGAACGGUAUUUAUCGAGUCUUGACAAAAGACUCAAACAGCAAUUUUUCUUAUGGUUAGUCGAUGGUUCGAAUCCAUCCCCGCCCA
rnacentral:tRNA from 1 species